UACGUAGGGUGCGAGCGUUAAUCGGAAUUACUGGGCGUAAAGCGUGCGCAGGCGGUUUUGUAAGCCAGAUGUGAAAGCCCCGGGCUCAACCUGGGAAUGGCAUUUGGGACUGCAAGGCUUGAGUGCGGCAGAGGAGACUGGAAUUCCUGGUGUAGCAGUGAAAUGCGUAGAUAUUGGGAGGAACACCAGUGGCGAAGGCGGCUCGCUGGACCGGUUCUAACGCUGAGGCGCGAAAGCGUGGGGAGCAAACAGG
rnacentral:rRNA from 1 species